AUAUAUUUUUUUUUAUUACAGAUGGUUUUACAAAGUCUUGCAGCGGAGAUUCGCCAAAAUGCAUAAAAGAGUUCCUCCAAUCGAUACUCGAAGUUUUCCUUAACGGUAUUCCGGAGCUAGGAAUAAAAUGUCUAGAUCCAUUUGAAUUUGAAAACGUGGAAUUCAAUCUGCCCAGUGGACUUCAAAUUAAAUUCUUAAAUGGCAACGCUACGGGAUUUAAAAGUUGUGUUAUCGAUUCUGUAAGAAAUAUUGGAAAUAAUUAUGAGUUGAUAUCUCAUUGCAAUCUUACUAUCCAAGGAAGAUACAAGUCUUCCGGAAGAAUGCUUAUAUUUCCUGUAAAUGGAGAGGGGGAUUCUACCAUCAAGUGUAGUCAUAUAGGAAUGAAAACUAGUGUUCAAUUAAUUACGAAAAUAGCCAGCGAUGGUCGUGAGCAUAUAGAAAUAAGAAAUAUUAAUUCAAAGCACACAUUUAAGGAACAAGUUAACUACAAUUUUACAAACAUCUUCAAAGGGA